rnacentral:misc_RNA from 1 species
GAAAACAGUUCAGAAGAUCCUUGUCUGAAUGUCAAACAUGAAACAGGUCCCUUAUGACCAGGGAAUGCCUUAAUAUGCUGCCGUGUUCGGAUGUCCCACAAAUGAACGUGACGAUCUAAGCCUCCACUUGCCAAAUAGCGUCCAUCAGAGCUGACAGCCAAAGCUAAAACAUUCUUACUAUGUUUUGUUGCUCGACCUUGUGGGUCCUUUGCACCAUGUGACUUCAGAGCUUCA